GACAGAGGGUGCAAACGUUGUUCGGAAUUACUGGGCGUAAAGCGCGUGUAGGCGGCUAAGUAAGUCGGGCGUGAAAUCCCACGGCUCAACCGUGGAAGUGCACUCGAAACUGCAUAGCUAGAGUCCUGGAGAGGAAGGUGGAAUGCUUGGUGUAGCGGUGAAAUGCGUAGAUAUCGGAAGGAACACCUGUGGCGAAAGCGGCUCACUGGACCAUUACUGACGCUGAGGCACGAAAGCUAGGGGAGCAAACAGG
rnacentral:rRNA from 1 species